rnacentral:rRNA from 1 species
CGGACUGUAGUCUGCAACCCGACUACACGAAGCUGGAAUCGCUAGUAAUCGCGGAUCAGAAUGCCGCGGUGAAUACGUUCCCGGGUCUUGUACACACCGCCCGUCACACCAUGGGAGUCAGUAACGCCCGAAGUCAGUGACCUAACCGAAAGGGAGGAGCUGCCGAAGGCGGGACGGAUGACUGGGGUGAAGUCGUAACAAGGUACC